rnacentral:rRNA from 1 species
AGAGUUUGAUCCUGGCUCAGGAUGAACGCUGGCGGCGUGCUUAACACAUGCAAGUCGAACGAUCCUUCGGGAUAGUGGCGGACGGGUGAGUAACGCGUGGGAAUCUGCCCUCAGGAGGGGGAUAACGGCUGGAAACGGCCGCUAAUACCCCAUAUGCCGAGAGGUGAAAUGAAUUUCGCCUGAGGAUGAGCCCGCGUCUGAUUAGCUAGUUGGUGGGGUAAAGGCCUACCAAGGCAACGAUCAGUAGCUGGUCUGAGAGGAUGAUCAGCCACACUGGGACUGAGACACGGCCCAGACUCCUACGGGAGGCAGCAGUGGGGAAUUUUCCGCAAUGGGCGAAAGCCUGACGGAGCAACGCCGCGUGAGGGAUGAAGGCCUCUGGGCUGUAAACCUCUUUUCUCAAGGAAGAAGACCUGACGGUACUUGAGGAAUAAGCCACGGCUAAUUCCGUGCCAGCAGCCGCGGUAAUACGGGAGUGGCAAGCGUUAUCCGGAAUUAUUGGGCGUAAAGCGUCCGCAGGCGGCCUUGUAAGUCUGUUGUUAAAGCGUGGAGCUCAACUCCAUUUAAGCAAUGGAAACUACAAGGCUGGAGUGUGGUAGGGGCAGAGGGAAUUCCCGGUGUAGCGGUGAAAUGCGUAGAUAUCGGGAAGAACACCAGUGGUGAAGGCGCUCUGCUGGGCCAUAACUGACGCUCAUGGACGAAAGCCAGGGGAGCGAAAGGGAUUAGAUACCCCUGUAGUCCUGGCCGUAAACGAUGAACACUAGGUGUCGGGGGAAUCGACCCCCUCGGUGUCGUAGCCAACGCGUUAAGUGUUCCGCCUGGGGAGUACGCACGCAAGUGUGAAACUCAAAGGAAUUGACGGGGGCCCGCACAAGCGGUGGAGUAUGUGGUUUAAUUCGAUGCAACGCGAAGAACCUUACCAGGGUUUGACAUCCUGCGAACCCCUGAGAAAUCGGGGGGUGCCUUCGGGAGCGCAGAGACAGGUGGUGCAUGGCUGUCGUCAGCUCGUGUCGUGAGAUGUUGGGUUAAGUCCCGCAACGAGCGCAACCCACGUCUUUAGUUGCCAGCAUUCAGUUGGGCACUCUAGAGAGACCGCCGGUGAUAAACCGGAGGAAGGUGUGGAUGACGUCAAGUCAUCAUGCCCCUUACAUCCUGGGCUACACACGUACUACAAUGCUACGGACAAAGGGCAGCAAGCUCGCGAGAGUUAGCAAAUCCCAUAAACCGUGGCUCAGUUCAGAUCGUAGGCUGCAACUCGCCUACGUGAAGGAGGAAUCGCUAGUAAUCGCAGGUCAGCAUACUGCGGUGAAUACGUUCCCGGGCCUUGUACACACCGCCCGUCACACCAUGGAAGUUGGCCAUGCCCGAAGUCGUUACUCCAGCCC